GGGGAAUAUUGCGCAAUGGGGGAAACCCUGACGCAGCAACGCCGCGUGAAGGAUGAAGGCUUUCGGGUUGUAAACUUCUUUAGUCGGGGACGAAAAAAAUGACGGUACCCGAAGAAUAAGCCACGGCUAACUACGUGCCAGCAGCCGCGGUAAUACGUAGGUGGCGAGCGUUGUCCGGAAUUACUGGGUGUAAAGGGCGUGUAGGCGGGUUGUCAAGUCAGAUGUGAAAUUCCAGAGCUCAACUCUGGCGCUGCAUCUGAAACUGAUGAUCUUGAGUACUGGAGAGGGAAGCGGAAUUCCUAGUGUAGCGGUGAAAUGCGUAGAUAUUAGGAGGAACACCAGUGGCGAAGGCGGCUUUCUGGACAGUAACUGACGCUGAGGCGCGAAAGCGUGGGGAGCGAAC
rnacentral:rRNA from 1 species